UGGAUCCAGACUUUGAUUCUGGCUCAGGAUGAACGCUAGCUACAGGCUUAACACAUGCAAGUCGAGGGGAAACGACAUUGGAAGCUUGCUUCCGGUGGGCGUCGACCGGCGCACGGGUGAGUAACGCGUAUCCAACCUGCCCACCACUUGGGAAUAACCUUGCGAAAGUAAGACUAAUGCCCAAUGACGUUGAAAGAAGACAUCUGAUUUCAACUAAAGAUUCAUCGGUGAUGGAUGGGGAUGCGUCUGAUUAGCUUGUUGGCGGGGUAACGGCCCACCAAGGCGACGAUCAGUAGGGGUUCUGAGAGGAAGGUCCCCCACAUUGGAACUGAGACACGGUCCAAACUCCUACGGGAGGCAGCAGUGAGGAAUAUUGGUCAAUGGACGAGAGUCUGAACCAGCCAAGUAGCGUGCAGGAUGACGGCCCUAUGGGUUGUAAACUGCUUUUAUAAGGGAAUAAAGUGGGAGUCGCGACUCCUUUUGCAUGUACCUUAUGAAUAAGGACCGGCUAAUUCCGUGCCAGCAGCCGCGGUAAUACGGAAGGUCCGGGCGUUAUCCGGAUUUAUUGGGUUUAAAGGGAGCGUAGGCCGGAGAUUAAGCGUGUUGUGAAAUGUAGAUGCUCAACAUCUGCACUGCAGCGCGAACUGGUUUCCUUGAGUACGCACAAAGUGGGCGGAAUUCGUGGUGUAGCGGUGAAAUGCUUAGAUAUCACGAAGAACUCCGAUUGCGAAGGCAGCUCACUGGAGCGCAACUGACGCUGAAGCUCGAAAGUGCGGGUAUCGAACAGGAUUAGAUACCCUGGUAGUCCGCACGGUAAACGAUGGAUGCCCGCUGUUGGUCUGAAUAGGUCAGCGGCCAAGCGAAAGCAUUAAGCAUCCCACCUGGGGAGUACGCCGGCAACGGUGCAACUCAAAUGAAUUGACGGA
rnacentral:rRNA from 1 species